AUACGAAAGGUGCAAGCGUUGUUCGGAUUUACUGGGCGUAAAGAGAGUGUAGGUGGUUUAUUAAGUCGGAUGUGAAAUCCCGGGGCUCAACCUCGGAACUGCAUUCGAUACUGAUAGGCUAGAGUUUGGGAGGGGUAAGCGGAAUUCCGUGUGUAGCAGUGAAAUGCGUAGAUAUACGGAGGAACACCUGAGGCGAAGGCGGCUUACUGGACCAAUACUGACACUGAGACUCGAAAGCGUGGGCAGCAAACAGAAUUAGAAACCCGGGUAGUCC
rnacentral:rRNA from 1 species